AUCGUAGCAUUGUGAAAUAAAGUGCAAAUCCAUUCGUUUGCUCACACGGUGGUUUGCGAAUACCCUUUAAUGGGUGAAAAUUUACCCGUUUUCAAAUAGCACACAUUUCUGUCAAAAAAUGGGUGAAUUCAGAUAUGAAAAACGGGUAAAUAAAUACCCAUUAUGUGUUGGUCAUUGCAGAUUAAAAAUGGGUAUUUAAAAACUCAUUUAUGGGUGAAAAAAUAGUUAAAGCGAAUAUUCCAUUGAUAUGUUGUGCCCAGUUCCGAAGAUUAAAUAUAAUUUUCAAUCUUUAAGUUCAACUUUCCUUUUUUUGUAAAUACAGCGUUCAAAAAAGAGACAUUUCAGAUUUUCCCGUUGUUCCAGUCCUGGUUCCAGCCGGCUGCAGCAAAAUUCCAGCAACUGGCAGAAUGGAGGAGCUUAUGUGUGAAAAAAAAAUAAAUGUGUGUUUUAAUGAAUUAUAUUAGUAAUGGGUAGUAGGAUUCGGAUUCACCAAUUACAAGCGUUAAUAUUUCCGUA